UUGUCUCAGCCUAGUUCUCAUAUGCAAAGUCAGCACAGCCUGACUCAUGGCAAAGCCAAGCCCUGUCCAAGGAAGAAUGGUCUUUACAUUCUAAGUGGUUACAUUUUAAAUGGUUCUGGAAGGCCCUGCAUAGUCCCUUUAGUUUGCCUCUUGGCCCACAGAGCCUAAAUUCUUUCCCAUGUCGCCCUUAGGGAAUCACUGCUGACCACUGUGAGGUGGACCCUCAGCCAGGCUCUCGAGAACAUUCACUGUAUGUGUCUGUAGCAAUUCUGUCAACACUCUGGGGUCAGUUUGGCUGAAUAUCAUUUGUGUCACUUUUAAAUCACUUUUUUGAGAUCCCUGGUGUAGACAGCAAUGCCUCAGCUCCAUCAGGUAUCUACUCAAACAGCGUCUCCCUGAUGAGGCCUUUCCUGACGAUGGAACUCGGAACCUGCCCAGUGCUGCCCCCUAGCCCUGUCCCCUCUUCACUGUUUCCACGGCACUUCUCACCUUCGGGCGUGCUGCAUCACUUACCGAUGCCCACACUCCUGCCGCCCUCACUGUAAACGAAGGUCCACUCUACACCCAGCACCUAAAGCAGGACCUGGAAUGGGUAAGCACUCAGCCCACAUGUGCUGAAUGAAUAAACCUGUGCCGAAGGCUUCUUUUACAGAACUGAACGAGUCUUGGCCUCUCUCACCUGCCUUCCAUUGGUACCGGCAGCCAUGAAAUAGAGAAAGAGAUGUCAGGA